rnacentral:rRNA from 1 species
UACGAGAGGCCCAAACGUUAUUCGGAUUUACUGGGCUUAAAGAGUUCGUAGGCGGCUUGGAAAGUGGGGUGUGAAAGCCCUCGGCUCAACCGAGGAAUUGCGCUCCAAACUACCGAGCUUGAGGAGGCUAGAGGUGAGCAGAACUGAUGGUGGAGCGGUGAAAUGCGUUGAUAUCAUCAGGAAUACCGGAGGCGAAGGCGGCUCACUGGGACAUUUCUGGCGCUGAGGAACGAAAGCUAGGGGAGCAAACGGG